rnacentral:rRNA from 1 species
UACGAAGGGGGCAAGCGUUGUUCGGAUUUAUUGGGCGUAAAGGGUGCGUAGGCGGUUUGGCAAGUCUGAUGUGAAAUCUAUGGGCUCAACCCAUAGUCUGCAUCAGAAACUGCCGGGCUUGAGUGUGGGAGAGGUGAGUGGAAUUCCUGGUGUAGCGGUGAAAUGCGUAGAUAUCAGGAGGAACACCUGUGGCGAAAGCGGCUCACUGGACCAUAACUGACGCUGAUGCACGAAAGCUAGGGGAGCAAACAGG